rnacentral:rRNA from 1 species
UACAGAGGUCUCAAGCGUUGUUCGGAUUCAUUGGGCGUAAAGGGCGCGUAGGCUGCGGGGCAAGUCGGGUGUGAAAUCUCAGAGCUCAACUCUGAAACUGCACUCGAUACUGCUCUGCUUGAGGACUGGAGAGGAGACUGGAAUUCACGGUGUAGCAGUGAAAUGUGUAGAUAUCGUGAGGAAGACCAGUGGCGAAGGCGACUACCUGGCCUGUUCUUGACGCUGAGGCGCGAAAGCUAGGGGAGCAAACAGG